UACGUAGGGGGCAAGCGUUGUCCGGAAUUAUUGGGCGUAAAGAGCGUGUAGGCGGCCAGAAAAGUCCGCUGUGAAAACUCGAGGCUCAACUUCGAGCUGUCGGUGGAAACUUUCUGGCUAGAGUCCGGAAGAGGAGAAUGGAAUUCCUGGUGUAGCGGUGAAAUGCGCAGAUAUCAGGAAGAACACCCGUGGCGAAGGCGGUUCUCUGGGACGGUACUGACGCUGAGACGCGAAAGCGUGGGGAGCGAACAGG
rnacentral:rRNA from 1 species